GCUCGCGGCCUUACAGCUUGUUGGUGAGGUAAUGGCUCACCAAGGCGACGACGGGUAGCCGGCCUGAGAGGGCGACCGGCCACACUGGGACUGAGACACGGCCCAGACUCCUACGGGAGGCAGCAGUGGGGAAUAUUGCACAAUGGGCGAAAGCCUGAUGCAGCGACGCCGCGUGAGGGAUGACGGCCUUCGGGUUGUAAACCUCUUUCAGCAGGGAAGAAGCGAAAGUGACGGUACCUGCAGAAGAAGCGCCGGCUAACUACGUGCCAGCAGCCGCGGUAAUACGUAGGGCGCGAGCGUUGUCCGGAAUUAUUGGGCGUAAAGAGCUCGUAGGCGGCUUGUCACGUCGGUUGUGAAAGCCCGGGGCUUAACCCCGGGUCUGCAGUCGAUACGGGCAGGCUAGAGUUCGGUAGGGGAGAUCGGAAUUCCUGGUGUAGCGGUGAAAUGCGCAGAUAUCAGGAGGAACACCGGUGGCGAAGGCGGAUCUCUGGGCCGAUACUGACGCUGAGGAGCGAAAGCGUGGGGAGCGAACAGGAUUAGAUACCAGUGGUAGUCCACGCCGUAAACGGUGGGCACUAGGUGUGGGCAACAUUCCACGUGUCGGCCGCAGGUAUGUUAGUGGGAGCA
rnacentral:rRNA from 1 species